rnacentral:lncRNA from 1 species
CUCUUCACCGUUUACCCAUUCAUUGCCAUAUGAACCCUAUUUUACCCUCACAACUUCUCACCUCAAAAACACUCAAACGGCAACCACUUCUUGCUUCCUUCGACUCCGACAUUCCUCCCCUUCAUCCUAGGUCAGGUAAACAUUUUUCCUUCUGUUGUUCCUUUCAUUUUCAUGUAUGUCUUUUUUUUCUUACCCAAGUUGCGCACCGAGUGGAGGCAUUAAGGUGGCUUGGGACGAGAGAGAAUCGAACAACCAGUCGGCUUGGGAAGGGGCUGAGUGGGCCCUUGCUGGCUUAUGUGAGAGAGAGGAAUGCCGAAACAGUGUAGUACAAUGACAUCAAAUUGCAAGAGUGGGAUUUAGGUAUGUCGAUCACUACUUCUUGAUCUGGAUCUUUAACAUGUAUAGUAGAUUUUUUAUAGUACUGUCCUGAAAGUUUGAUAAUAUUUUCUUAUCGAUUUUAUUGUUUGAAGGUAAAGAGAUGUCGAAGUUCAUAAUUUCUUAUAUCAAAGGCUUGAGAUAAUGCUUGUUAUUGUAAAUCUCAACUGCAUAAAGUAGCUUUAAUCCACAACUUGCAUGAUUCUUUUGCCUCUUAUCUAUAUCUUUAUAUAUCUGUUCUUAUUAUUUCUUCCGUAAAACCUUCAUAGUAGCAGCUUUAAGCAAAUUUACAGCACUAAUCACUCUUUAUCAUCAAAGCUUUACUUUUCCGAUACUGGAUGAAAUAUGAUAUUAUGUGGGAUAUUCUAUCUCUAGCUACCAAUCCAAAAGCUAUUUCUACAAACUUAAGGUUCUUCUUUUCUGAUUCCAAGUUUGUUGUUAUUCAAAGCCACUGAACUUCGUCAAAACUAAUAGUAUUAAGUUGUGGAAUUUUAAUGCUUUAGUUUAGACUGAAAUGUAUUCAUUUAAUACCUUGUUCUACAACUUUGCUUUCUUUUAUCAUUUGGAGCUUUAAUAUUUUAACACAAGUGAUGUCAAUUUCUUGUCUUAAUAACAUCUUUAUUAUUUACUGAUUCAGGUGGACAGACAAGUAUCAGGUAACUUUCACAAACAUGCAUUGUUUUUAUAUCCCUUCAUUAUUUACUAAUAUUUUGCUGGCUAGUGGCAACUUUGAAAUAAGAUGUUUGGUUUCUAGAAGCUCUAUGUAAAGUUUGUGUUUAUGAGUUUGCAUCUAGCCGCUUAGAAAUUUAAUUAAGCUAAUAGUUUUUGCUCUAAAACUUAUAUGACAUCCCGUAAGUUCUUUUAAGUUGUAAAAGAAGUGUAUGCCUAGAUUUUAUAACUAUUGUUAUUAGGGUGUGCAUAAUUCGGGUAAAAUCGAAAAAAUUCAGUUAACUGACCGAAUUCGGUUAAUCGGUCGGUUAACCGAAUUUUUUCGAUCGGGGGUCGGUUUAUUUUUUAUGAUUUUUUGGUUAACGGUUAAUUCGGUUUGAAACCAGUCGGUUAACCGAAUUUUUCGGUUAAAUUGAAAAAAUUAAUAAAUAAAAUUAUCCAAUCCAACCCAAUUACCCAACCCAAUAAAACUAAAACUAAAGUCUAACUCUAAGUCUCUACCCAAUUACACAUGUUUUUUUUUUUUUUAGGUUUAAUGCACAUGGAGAUUUUUUGGAGGGAAGAAAUGGAUAUAAAUGGAGAAUAUUAAAGACUUACAUUUCAAUUAUGUGUUAAUUUCGAGACUUAUGUAAUGUUUUUAAUUAUGUAGUGAUUCAAAGACUUAUGUAAUAUUUUUAAUUAUGUAGUGAUUCAAUU